UUUUUUUUUUUUUUUUGAACUUGAGAUUUUCCUGCCUUAGCCUCCCAAGCUGCUGGGAUUGCAGGUGUGUGCCACUGUGCCCAGCCUGAAUUCUUAAUGGUUGCCCAACUCUCAGGCAAGUGCAGCCUGUGUGUUUUCAAACUUUACCCAAAAAUGCUCUGUUUUUUCUGUGGCACAUGCUUGUGAUGCUGAAACCUAACUCCUCAAAAUAGAACUUAAGAAGGAAACUAAUGAUUCAUUAAAGUAAAUUGAUGGUGUUGGUAAUAAUGCUUAUCCCAUA
rnacentral:lncRNA from 1 species